rnacentral:tRNA from 17 species
GGAGAGGUGUCCGAGCGGUUUAUGGUACUUGCUUGGAAAGCAAGCGUAGGGUAACACCUACCGGGGGUUCGAAUCCCCCCCUCUCCGCCA